ensembl:lncRNA
UGAUUUUGGGUUAAAUAGGGGAUUUUUCAAGAGAAAAUGUGUGAUUUUCAGUUAAAUCGCGGAUUCUCUAAGAGAAAAUGCCUGAUGUUUGCAUUAAAUGUGUGAUUUUCGUAGAGAUAAUGCGUGAUUUUCAGGUUACAUGGGAGAUUUUUUGAAGAGAAAAUGCGUGAUUUUCAGGUUAAAUGGGAGAUUCUUGUAGCGCAACAGUUUGAUUUUGGGGUUAAAUGAGGGAUUUUUGAAGAGAAAAUGAGUGAUUUUCGAGUUAAAUGGG